rnacentral:rRNA from 1 species
UACGAAGGGGGCUAGCGUUGCUCGGAAUCACUGGGCGUAAAGGGUGCGUAGGCGGGUCUUUAAGUCAGGGGUGAAAUCCUGGAGCUCAACUCCAGAACUGCCUUUGAUACUGAAGAUCUUGAGUUCGGGAGAGGUGAGUGGAACUGCGAGUGUAGAGGUGAAAUUCGUAGAUAUUCGCAAGAACACCGGUGGCGAAGGCGCUCAUCUGGCCCAAUACUGACGCUGAGGCGCGAAAGCUAGGGGAGCAAACGGG